rfam:Picea glauca, whole genome shotgun sequence.
ACAUGCCUACAAUAUAGUGUUAAUGCACCAGAUCCCAUUAGAACUUUGUAGUUAAGCGCACUCAGGCUAGAGUAGUACUCAGAUGGGUGACCGCUCAUGAAUUCCUAAUGUUUUACAUGCC